rnacentral:misc_RNA from 1 species
CGAGUGAAAACCAAUGGCCCCAUACACACAUAUCCCAGGAAUAGUGGAAUCUAAAAGCUGACAAAUUCAUGAGAUAUUUUUCUCCACCGCAAUUCAAGCCCAAACACAACAGCAUUCCAAACCCAAACACAGCACCAUCAGAUCCCAACAAAGGCAAGGCCGUACAUAUAGACACUGUGUGUAAUUUUAGGUCGCUGGGUCACAAAUCCCCUAUUUGCCACCAAGUAGCAGCAGAAAUCAAUACAGAUUGCCCCAGGACCCCAAUUAUGUGAUCCAAAUUUGCAAUUUUUGCAAUUUUAUGAGACUAACACAAGGGGGAUAACAUGCCUCUUUGCAAUUCAAGAAGUAUUUGCCAUGGAAACAAUUAUGAGCUGGUAACCUUCAGGGACUGUUGUCUGUUUUUGCACACACUCUGCCAAUGCAGGAACAUCAUUGAGAUCUAGAAACCUGGCCACAAAGAGCAGCAGAUGAAAAUCAGAAAUUCUUUUCACAAAUGGAAGAUUCUUUGUGCGGUCCAGAUGAUUCUUCAAUGCCCUCACUGUGACUUGGCCGAUCCUGUUCUCAAUGGGAAAGGAUGAUGAUAGAGGACCCAUGUGAUCGAAUAUCUUAACCACGACCAAGAAAAAAUCAUUAUCAACCUCACCAAUAUCCUUUCCUCCAACAACAACAUCCUUCUUCAUUUUAGACAACUUAGGAUCCAUACCCUCCCCAAUCUCUGUCUCGAACCACUUUUCCUUGAGAAGUUUAAUGCAUGUAUCACUCAUCUGAAACGCCUCGAAAUGUACAUCGGCUCCCCCAUCUUCAUUCACUUCCAGUUUUACCACCGCUGUCACCCACUCCUUCAAUUCACUCUCGGCAUGAAGUUCCACUGCCUGCAGAACCUCUCUGUUGGACAAAGUAUAAUCUUUCUUGUCCUGCGUUAUCGUCUGUGCAAAUAUAAACCCCACUUUCCUCAUCCCUAAACCUGCUGCUAUAGCAUCCACCAAAUUCUCUUCCUGGGGAUCCCUUAAAAGCAUCAGAAUUUCCUCUGUAGUCUGCUGGGGCGGCUCAUAUAUAAAAUUCA